rnacentral:rRNA from 1 species
GACGUAGGGGGCAAGCGUUGUCCGGAAUUAUUGGGCGUAAAGCGCUUGUAGGCGGCACGUCAAGUCGCGUGUGAAAUCCCCAGGCUUAACCUAGGAGGUGCAUUUGAUACUGUGGAACUAGAGAUCGAGAGAGGUAAGUGGAAUUACGAGUGUAGAGGUGAAAUUCGUAGAUAUUCGUAAGAACACCAGUGGCGAAGGCGACUUACUGGCUCGAUACUGACGCUAAGGCGCGAAAGCGUGGGGAGCAAACAGG